UACGAAGGUCCCGAGCGUUGUUCGGAAUCACUGGGCGUAAAGGGAGCGUAGGCGGCGUGGUAAGUCAGAUGUGAAAUCCCGGGGCUCAACCCCGGAACUGCAUCCGAUACUGCCGUGCUUUGAGGGUUGGAGAGGUAGCUGGAAUUCUUGGUGUAGCAGUGAAAUGCGUGGAUAUCAAGAGGAACACUCGUGGCGAAAGCGAGCUACUGGACAACACCUGACGCUGAGGCUCGAAGGCCAGGGGAGCGAAAGGG
rnacentral:rRNA from 1 species